GGGGCCAUAGCUCAGCUGGGAGAGCGCCUGCUUUGCAAGCAGGGGGUCGGCGGUUCGAUCCCGCCUGGCUCCACCA
rnacentral:tRNA from 1 species